GACGAACGCUGGCGGCGUGCUUAACACAUGCAAGUCGAACGGAAAGGCCCUGCUUUUGUGGGGUGCUCGAGUGGCGAACGGGUGAGUAACACGUGAGUAACCUGCCCUUGACUUUGGGAUAACUUCAGGAAACUGGGGCUAAUACCGGAUAGGAGCCCCUGCUGCAUGGUGGGGGUUGGAAAGUUUCGGCGGUUGGGGAUGGACUCGCGGCUUAUCAGCUUGUUGGUGGGGUAGUGGCUUACCAAGGCUUUGACGGGUAGCCGGCCUGAGAGGGUGACCGGCCACAAUGGGACUGAGAUACGGCACAGACUCCUACGGGAGGCAGCAGUGGGGAAUAUUGCACAAUGGGCGGAAGCCUGAUGCAGCAACGCCGCGUGCGGGAUGACGGCCUUCGGGUUGUAAACCGCUUUCGCCUGUGACGAAGCGUGAGUGACGGUAAUGGGUAAAGAAGCACCGGCUAACUACGUG
rnacentral:rRNA from 1 species